rnacentral:rRNA from 1 species
UACGGAGGGUGCGAGCGUUGUCCGGAAUCACUGGGCGUAAAGGGCUCGUAGGCGGCCAACUAAGUCAUACGUGAAAUCCCUCAGCUUAACUGGGGAACUGCGUGUGAUACUGGAUGGCUUGGAUUUGGGAGAGGGAUGCGGAAUUCCAGGUGUAGCGGUGAAAUGCGUAGAUAUCAGGAGGAACACCGGUGGCGAAGGCGGUUCUCUGGGCAUUACCUGACGCUGAGGAGCGAAAGUGUGGGGAGCGAACAGG